GUUACUAUAGUUGAAUUAACAACGAUGAUUUUUCAUGUCAUUAGUCCUGGUUUUAGUCCAUGUAGUAAUU
rnacentral:tRNA from 1 species